GGGCGCUGAGCGGCGGGCGCGCCACAGGCGUUCUUCGCGCCUUGGUGCUUCGUGCUUCGUUGAGCGUUGGGCGUUCGGCGUUCGGCGUUCG
rnacentral:tRNA from 1 species